rnacentral:rRNA from 1 species
CCUACGGGGUGCAGCAGUGGGGAAUAUUGGACAAUGGGCGAAAGCCUGAUCCAGCCAUGCCGCGUGUGUGAAGAAGGCCUUCGGGUUGUAAAGCACUUUCAGUGGGGAAGAAAGCCUUGGGGCUAAUACCCUCGAGGAAGGACAUCACCCACAGAAGAAGCACCGGCUAACUCCGUGCCAGCAGCCGCGGUAAUACGGAGGGUGCGAGCGUUAAUCGGAAUUACUGGGCGUAAAGCGCGCGUAGGCGGUCUGAUAAGCCGGUUGUGAAAGCCCCGGGCUCAACCUGGGAACGGCAUCCGGAACUGUCAGGCUAGAGUGCAGUAGAGGAAGGUAGAAUUCCCGGUGUAGCGGUGAAAUGCGUAGAGAUCGGGAGGAAUACCAGUGGCGAAGGCGGCCUUCUGGACUGACACUGACGCUGAGGUGCGAAAGCGUGGGUAGCAAACAGGAUUAGAUACCCCUGUAGUC